rnacentral:rRNA from 1 species
AUUGAACGCUGGCGGCAGGCUUAACACAUGCAAGUCGAACGAUGAAACUCUAGCUUGCUAGAGAAGAUUAGUGGCGGACGGGUGAGUAACAUUUAGGAAUCUGCCUAGUAGUGGGGGAUAGCUCGGGGAAACUCGAAUUGAUACCGCAUACGACCUACGGGUGAAAGGGGGCGCAAGCUCUUGCUAUUAGAUGAGCCUAAAUCAGAUUAGCUAGUUGGUGGGGUAAAGGCCCACCAAGGCGACGAUCUGUAACUGGUCUGAGAGGAUGAUCAGUCACACCGGAACUGAGACACGGUCCUGACUCCUACGGGAGGCAGCAGUGGGGAAUAUUGGACAAUGGGGGCAACCCUGAUCCAGCCAUGCCGCGUGUGUGAAGAAGGCCUUUUGGUUGUAAAGCACUUUAAGCAGGGAGGAGAGGCUAAUGGUUAAUACCCAUUAGAUUAGACGUUACCUGCAGAAUAAGCACCGGCUAACUCUGUGCCAGCCGCCGCUGUAAGAC